CAGCUGAUGCCAUUGCAAAAGCAAAUGUUUAUUGUUACCUACAAUUACUUUAGUUUUAAACAUCAAUAAAGUAAACACAAGGGAACAUAAUUGCUGUGAAUUACUGUGAAUCACAGGGACCACAAAUGCUCACACACACCUGGUGCCUUGUCUUCUGCAUCACUUCCUAGCUUUAGCUGAUAAGCCUCUUAUGUUUCCUUUGUAAGGUCUUUUGCCUAAGGCAAACCAAAGCCAAUGGAAAUCCUGCUAUCAGCUUCAACAGCCUCUGAAUGAAGUCUGAAUUCUGCCAAGUGCAGGCUGAUAGUUUUAAAAUUAGUUCACAAGCUCUGCAGUUCUUUGGGAGAGUCCUAGCAUUCGGUAUACUGACUCAUUACUCUAAGAUCUGUACAAACCCUUUGCCCUUGGAGGCCAUGCUUAUACUGCCAGAGAGAAGGGCCAGGGCAUGGCUUAUCCCUAGUCUAAACAGGCAUGAACUGGCUUCCACAUGCCAGAGGCACUUAGCUCUCAAUCUUUGGAGUUUAGAAGACAUUUUUGUCCAUCAGGAACUGCACAAUCCCUCUUUGAUUUCAAGCACACAACGUGGAAAGGCAACACCAAAACUCCUCCAUGGUUCUUUACAGGCAUGCGCUCAACAGAGACUUCAGAGUCCACACCUUGUGCCACACUGGGACAAGAGUUGUUAGCCCAUGCAAUAGCGUGCACUGACUGCAUUUACCCCACAGACAGAGCUGAAUGAUGGAGCAGCUGUGGUGGACACCAGCAUGCGACUGCUUACUUCAAACUGCAACCUUCACAUUUCAUGGAAAAUGUCAGAAUUUUCAGCCAGUGUCUCCAUUAUUUACAGGACAGAGACCCCAGUAGAGGAAGGAUUCAUUUUUAUUUUUAUUUUUUGGAUGUCAAGAAGCAGUGUCUGUUCUGUUCCUGAUUAAUACUUGUGAGCCUCAGCUUUUAUAUAAUAACAUGAAGGGGGGCAGAUGAGAAGUAGUAGGUUUGGGGUCAGGUAGUCAAUUCAGUGGCAAAGAUUAGAGGCCAGAAGUCAUUGGUACUUAUCUCAACUGCAGCAGUAUGUCUAGAACUCAAGAUUGCAUUGUCACUAACAUACAGAGGGGUGUCAGUGCUUAAUUCCACAGGAGGUUUGGGAGUCCAGUGAAGACAUACACCAAAGAAACGACCUCACCAAGAUUCCUCAAUGUGUCAGUAGUGGUCACCUGUACCCUCAGUUUCUCCAUUUUUCAGUUUUUCGUCCUGCUUCCUGGGCUGUCUUCUCCUUUCAUUUCAAGAGCUCUGAAGGACAAAUUAUGAAGCAAAGUAAGGAAGCACACCUUCAUGCAGAAGCCUCUCGUCUAGACUUAAAGGGUAAUGAUUGUUGUCACACAGCAGCAAAAACAAACACCAUCCUGUUCAUCACUGCAUCUAGUGUGCAUAAAUGUAGAUGUUUUGGUUUAAAGAACUUGUGUGUGUCUUGGGAGAAAAGCCUGGAUGAAAUCACUAGGAGGGCAUACUAGUUCUGCUGUUCAGCAUUUCAUUUACCUGACACUAAUGCUGGUAUCUGCCCUCUUUUGCUUGAUAGUAUUUUUUGCAGUUGGUAUUCAGAGGUUGUCAUGUGCCAAAUUCAGUUGGAAUUUUUUUUUUAAGCCAUACUUGCUAUGGAAACAAGGAUUAAAUGAUUGUGCUGUUUACGUCUCUCCUCAUUCCUCUUGUCACUGGAACUAAUAGAUAUAACAGAGGAAAAUCUGAAAUAUAUAAAGCUCAUACAAGAUCCUUGAAAUAAGCAUCCAGGUGGAGGAGGACUCACUGAAAGAAGAGAUGCUGCUGAGCUCCAACUCUUAAUAAUAAACAGUGUCUGUAAGGGAGAGAAAAUACA
rnacentral:lncRNA from 1 species